rnacentral:rRNA from 1 species
CAGCACCUCAAGUGGUCAGGAUGAUUAUUGGGCCUAAAGCAUCCGUAGCCGGCGCUGUAAGUUUUCGGUUAAAUCUGUACGCUCAACGUACAGGCUGCCGGGAAUACUGCAGCGCUAGGGAGUGGGAGAGGUAGACGGUACUCGGUAGGAAGGGGUAAAAUCCUUUGAUCUAUUGAUGACCACCUGUGGCGAAGGCGGUCUACCAGAACACGUCCGACGGUGAGGGAUGAAAGCUGGGGGAGCAGACCGGAUUAGAUACCCGUGUAGUCC